GGCGACCGGCGCACGGGUGCGUAACGCGUAUGUAACCUACCUAUAACAGGGGCAUAACACUGAGAAAUUGGUACUAAUUCCCCAUAAUAUUCGGAGAGGCAUCUCUCCGGGUUGAAAACUCCGGUGGUUAUAGAUGGACAUGCGUUGUAUUAGCUAGUUGGUGAGGUAACGGCUCACCAAGGCAACGAUACAUAGGGGGACUGAGAGGUUAACCCCCCACGCUGGUACUGAGACACGGACCAGACUCCUACGGGAGGCAGCAUG
rnacentral:rRNA from 1 species